UACGUAGGGGGCUAGCGUUGUCCGGAAUCAUUGGGCGUAAAGCGCGUGUAGGCGGCCCGGUAAGUCCGCUGUGAAAGUCGGGGGCUCAACCCUCGGAUGCCGGUGGAUACUGUCGGGCUAGAGUGCGGAAGAGGCGAGUGGAAUUCCUGGUGUAGCGGUGAAAUGCGCAGAUAUCAGGAGGAACACCAAUUGCGAAGGCAGCUCGCUGGGACGUGACUGACGCUGAGACGCGAAAGCGUGGGGAGCGAACAGG
rnacentral:rRNA from 1 species